UAAAGGACUCUAUCUUGACAGAGCUAUAAAGGGGUUUGGAUCCCUUAGCCCCUCUCUUCUUUUCACUGAGUGAUAUGCCUUCAAAUUUAUCAUAUGAUAUUUAUCUAUGGUGGAUAUUGAUCUGGAGUCUCUUACCUA